GCGCGCAGGCGGCUUCUUAAGUCUGAUGUGAAAGCCCGUGGCUCAACCACGGAGGGUCAUUGGAAACUGGGGAGCUUGAGUGCAGAAGAGGAGAGUGGAAUUCCACGUGUAGCGGUGAAAUGCGUAGAUAUGUGGAGGAACACCAGUGGCGAAAGCGGCUCUCUGGUCUGUAACUGACGCUGAGGCGCGAAAGCGUGGGGAGCAAACAGGAUUAGAUACCCUGGUAGUCCACGCCGUAAACGAUGAGUGCUAGGUGUUAGGGGGGUCCAACCCCUUAGUGCUGAAGUUAACACAUUAAGCACUCCGCCUGGGGAGUACGACCGCAAGGUUGAAACUCAAAGGAAUUGACGGGGGCCCGCACAAGCAGUGGAGCAUGUGGUUUAAUUCGAAGCAACGCGAAGAACCUUACCAGGUCUUGACAUCCUCUGACAACCCUAGAGAUAGGGCGUUCCCCUUCGGGGGACAGAGUGACAGGUGGUGCAUGGUUGUCGUCAGCUCGUGUCGUGAGAUGUUGGGUUAAGUCCCGCAACGAGCGCAACCCUUGAUGUUAGUUGCCAGCAUUUAGUUGGGCACUCUAACGUGACUGCCGGUGACAAACCGGAGGAAGGUGGGGAUGA
rnacentral:rRNA from 1 species